CUUUGUGACUCUGCACUCUUGGACAGUAGCAUCCAGCAACAUAGGAUACUUUGGGGAGGGAAAGGAAAAGAGGCAAUCUCCCAGAAAAGCCCGAGAGCCCAGAAAAAUAAAGCAUAAAGCUGCGCCGUCUGGAAGAAGCAAGACCGUCUUUCCUCACAGCUACGAUGCUGCACCACUUUCGACAGAACCUGCUUUUCCCUCCAUUUACCUGGGCAGCUGCUGCUCUUUCUGCUGCUGCUGGGGCUGCUGCAGUCUUGCUGCCUGCGCUUCACCCUGGCUUGGCUGACUCGAAACUCUCUCGUCUGCACAUUGCAAAGGGAGAAGAGCUAUGGAGCCGCGGAUUUUUUUUUUAUUGGUUCUGGAAGCCAAGGGUUGCAAUAUGUGAUGAUUUUGGGGUUUUCUGUGGCGGGAGGGAGGGAGGAGAAAGGCAGGGUGUUAAUCUAGGAUAGGGUGGGUGGAAGCUUAAAGAAAUAUUAUGUCAAGUAAUCCAGUGCUCGACAAGGGCAUCAGCAACAAGAAUCCAGCCUCUGCUGCUCCAGAGGAUUAACAUGGGGAAGUCACAGCGCUGCAGUCGUGUUUCACCUCAGUGUUGUACUGGAGAUGGAUAAAUAAGGUAUCGGUUGCAUCUGCCUGUUAAGGCAAAGCCAAGGGAGAAGGAGAGAGUGAGCGAAUGCAAAUGCAAAGGAAGAAGAAACGCUACGUGCCGUUUGUCCGAUUCUGUGGAUUCUCACUGCAGAGAGGAUGGCUUGAUUAACAAAGCAAUGUAUGAACGGAGGGACUGUAAAUUGUAGCUUGAGCACUCCUGGUGUUGUCAAGGAGUGAACUGAUGAGUUAGGUGGCUGCAGGAAUAUCCCCAGGGAAAACAGCAGCCUUGCACUCUGUGUGUAUAUCUGUGUACGUACGUGCUUUUGUGUGUGUGUGAACAUGUAUAGAAAUGAAAGAAAGACAUUUCUGACCAAUUUACAGAGGAUGUUUGUCAAUUUGCUGGGUCAGACUUGAUUGCAGCUUGUAUUUUCAGCUCUAGCUCUACACCCAUUUCCUGACUGAGGUGGCACUUUGUGAAAACAGAUGGUAGGCAGUAUUCUUUUAAGAAAUGUGAAAACAGAUCCUUUCUGCUUAACACCUUGAAGCACUGAGUCUUCUGCACAGUGCUGAGAGAAACCAUGGGGUUUCGUUUUCUCCAUCUUAAAAUCUCUAUAAACACAGCUGUAUUCAGUAUGGUGAAAAAUUCUAUACUGUAAAUAGAAAUGUGAUCAAUCUAAUCAAAAUAAAUGCAUCCCAGAUGACUUCUAGACCAGCUGGCUACCACAGUCAUCAGAUGACUAAAUCCUCAACUGAGCAUUUGUAUUCAGUGUUAUAUUUGCAUCUUUUUAGUUUUCCUUUUUUUUUCUUAGAUUUUCAAAAUCAGCCUCUAAUUGAAAAGGAUUCUUCAUGUAUUGAGAAAGCGUAAUGCUUGCGUUUGGCAAUUGACUUCUGUGAAAUGCAACUGGGUGUAUUUUUUAUUUCAGAAUCUGCUUGGGGAGGUUUUAGAGCAGGUAGGCUUGUCACAGGACAGGCACAUUUCAUUUAGUAGGUAUCCUAGCUUGGUCAUAUCUGAACAAUGCAGAAACAGGGAAAACAAGCCCUGCACUCAGCUAGCAGGGCUUGGCAUGGAUUCUGGCAGCUGCCUAUUGAGAAAAAUGGAGUGUUUUCCUUUCCUUUUUUUCCCUUUUAUACAAAGCCAUAGACCAUAAUGUCAUACUAAAAUGUGUGUGAGGGGAUUUCCCAAUAGUCAUGGUGAGCUACCCUGCAAGACAUCCGUCUGGUCCUUCCACUAUUUGUUCCCCAGCCUACAAAGGCAGCCCUGUGUGUGGAAUUGUAUUUAACCAGCUGUUGGAUAGCAUUCUCGUACUGGGGGCUAAGGAGUCUUAUUACUCCCAAACUGUAGUUUUCUGUUUGCGUAAAGAAAAAUUACUUUGGCAAUAGAGCAAGCUCUGCAAAGGAGUUUAUGCCACUCCUAUACCUUUCUGAAUCUGUUGUGUGCCUCUAACUCGGGCAGUCUAAAGCAAGCAAGGAGGGAGGAGGAGAGACUCUGAAAUCGCAGCUUCAAAGCUGCAGAGACGAGCAAAAUGUCAGCAGCUUGUAAUUAGGAGCCCAUGGUUACGUCAGUGACUGUAUCUCUCCAAGAAUUGCUAUGUGAUGUGUGCCACAAAGCAAAGGAAGACUCUCAUAACCUGGUUAACAAGCCUGGCUCAAACAAGAAAGAGCAAAAUGGAUUAAUGAAUCUACUGCGUUCCUAAGUCAGAUGUGGAUGGAUUACAUGCACAAGGUUUGCUGAAUUCUGCAGCAGUGAAGACUGAGUUAUGGGAUACAUUCACCAAAAGUGCAAAUCCUUCAGGAAAGAAUGCAGAUGAACAGUCUAUCUUUGAAAAUUUUUCUCCUAGCUCUGUCCUGUAUGGGCAGCUGCACGACAUGGAGGCAUGCUCUGAAGGAAGAGACUGGCGAGCUGCACAAAGGUGUUUAAAAGGAAGGGUGCAAUAUAACACAAAGCAAGCCUGCUGAAAUUCUGCUCUGGCAUUACAGAUUUGAUACUGAAAUACCACCCCAGAGGAGACCGGCUGGGCUCUGGUGUGGUUUAUAUUAAGGCUUCUCCGGUAAAGAGCGAGGGGGGAGGGCCAGGGCUUCCUGCAGCAUCUUGCAGCCAUGCAGAAGUCCCCAGGGCUGUGGGAAGCAGGAGGGAUGGACAUGCUCUUAAAGACACAUGCCCAGAUCCUGCCAAGGGGCUUUCUGACCUCUGCAAUUUUUUUUAGGUCUGGGAAGGCAACUCGGCAGUGCUUAAGCAGUGAGAUUGCAGGGGGUGUUUAAUCUGCUGCGACUGGCCUUUCUCUGUGUCAUGGCUGGGAGAGGUUUAUAGGGCUUUUGCCAAUACCCCUCCACCAGAUACAGCCUGCACGUCUGUCACUGUUCCCAAAGACCUGGAGGUCUGGUGUAGCUCCCUGCUCAGAAGUCACUUGCAGUUCAACUCUGCUGUAGUUGCUUUUAAUUUACCAGGAUAGGUAGAUUGUACUAUACAAACAGUGGGAGUGGGUGGUUUUUGGUUUGGUUUUGGUUUGUUGGUUUUUUUUUUUUUUUUUUUUUUUGGACUGUGAACACAAAUUUGUAGGAGGAGGUGACUCUGUAUAUUAAACCAAUAGCUCUUUGAAUUGUGUGUAGUAUAAUUUAAAUAUACUUACUUUAAUUAAUAGAAGGUUACAAAAGCUGGCAUUGUCUGGGGCUGUUUAAUUUACAUCUUAGGUUUAGUCAAUGAGCAUAACCUGCCUGAUUAGAAUAGUGUAUUCUGCACAGCCAACAGGGUGGAAGGCAUUAUUUUGUUUGUGUUAGUUCAAACAGCUGGUCAUUAAUGCAGGCCCCAUCUCCAGAGUGAAGUGCUAGUGGACAUGAAUGGCUGCCUGAUUAAUGCUGCCCCUCGACGGGUCCUUCAUCCAGCAGCGAUGCUCGCAGCAGAAUAAUGCAGCAGGAUUUGAUUGCGCUCUAACAGGGUAGUAUGUCAUUGUGUCACCAAGCGAUCGAGGUUAUUAUGGGGUAGGGCAGACAGACGGGACAGUGGGGUUACUAGACCGUGGCAUUUUUAGAAAUGCAGGGCUGACCUACUUAGAGUUAUUCUUGCUGGCUGGCAGCUGCCUGGUGCGGGGCUCCCCCGGAUAGGCUGCGGCUGUUGCUAGGGGGAAUUAGCAUGAAUUUUUCCACAUACAGACUCAGUGAUUGAAUGAUAAAAGCUGACUGGAAUUAAAGAGAUUCGGUUCAGUAUUAUGCAGAUUUAUCUCCCUCAUUUUUUUUCUCUCUGUCAAAUGCAUAAAAAGGAGCAGAAAAUAGUUUGUUUCCAUUUAUUUUUGACCUAUUUUUUUUUCCAGGGGAGGGCAGAAGUGUUGUGAAUUUUUGGUCAUAAUUUAAUAUUUAGGCUGUUGAAAUUAUAUGAUAGUGGGCAUGCAUCUUUAAUGCAUGGAAGAUUAAAAUGCUGCCACUCUGGAAGGGAAUGAAAUGAAUAUAUUUUGUGUUCUGGUCAGGCUGCCACCUCUUUUUAUAUGAAGCCAUGUCUGAUUCUUUCAUCUGGAAAGGGAAAACAAGGUUUUAUUGCAUAACAUUACUCUUAGCUAUUUUUAGUUAUCUGUACUUCAAAAAAUUAGUCAUGAUUAUGCUAGUGGAUGAAAUUAAUCCCCAGGCUAUGCCUUAUGUAUGUGGAGGCAGAUGCCCAGGGUAGCUGCAGUGUUGUGUGUCAUGUUCAUCUGAAAAGGUGUUUAUAUACUGCAGGCUUAUCAGCACUGCAUACCUAGCAGAGUGCUGAUGCCUGACAUGAAAUCAGAUCAAUUAGAGAACUCUUCUGGAUUUCGGCAUAUUUUUCAGGCCCUGGUUUGAAGUUGGAUUCUCUAGAUGGCCUUCUUUUAUUUAUCUACAUCUGCCUAAAACAGUGUUAUCUUUUCAGAGAACUCUGUGCUCCCUUAGGAAGCAAAUAAAAACAAUACUCAGUGAAGAAUCCUUUGAUGUAAUCAUGAAUAUUUCCUUUGUUAUUAUCACUAAUUAUAGACGAUCUUUGUUUAAACCGCUAUUUCCCUCUGUGUGAUCUUUUACCAUGCAAAGAAGUUCCAAUUUAGUUCUUGUAAUUUUAAGUUAAAUAUUCAUGACAAUGCAUCAUGACAUCACACUCAAAGAAGUGGGAAUUUUCAAAAUAUAAGGCAGUGGGGGAUGGGAGAGAAGGACCCACACAUCUUUGGAACUGCAAAAUAAAAAAUGUGACUCGGUGCUGAAAAGAAGUGAACUCAUUUUUGUCUGAAACAGUUUAAUUUCAGAUAUUUGGAUGAAUGACAUACCUUCUAGAAGGGUGUGAACAGCUCAGUUGCAAAUCUGAGUUACCUUUUAGAGGAGUGUGAGUUGCCUGUGCAUCUCUCUGGACAGCUAGCUGCUUUCCUGGAACCAGAACUGUCCUGCCUUAGCUCCUGGAAUUUACUGGGAAGGUAUUAAAAAAAAUGAAACCAGAAAUGCAGACAUGAAUUUGAAUGUAUUUUGUGGUUGAGGCCAAGUAUUCAGUUCCUAUAGAGUUGAAUUUCCUAUGUCUUUUUCCUGGCAUUGAUUCAUUGCUGAAACUUGCACCACUUCCUUCUCUGCUCCUUCCUGACAGUCUCAUGGAGUGACAGAUUUUUAGAGAAGUGAGGAGGGGCACUAUUUGAUGCCCAGUAAUUGUGUUUGCCUUGUCUGUCCUUGGAGGUUACUCCAGAAAGUUGUGGUCCCACUUCCCUCAGCAAUAUUCUCUUGAUCCAAAUCUGAAGUCCUGCUUCACUUUCCUUCAGGAUGCUGAUGGAUGUUAAGCAACAGACAGCCUUUGUCUACAAUUGUCUCUUGAGGUUCUUGCCCUUGUUGGUUGCAGCCAGUUGUAGUUAAAUUCAGUUCACCCGGGAUAUUAUCUGACUUGGGCUUCAGCAAAUCAAAAUAAGCAUGCAAUAUUAUAUUAAUGCAAUACCCUAUUUUCUUGAAAAAAAAAAUUGGAGUGUUUGGUAUAUUUGUACUAAAAAAGAGGGAGUUCAAAGAAAAGCAACAAACAAGAUAAAGCAUUUAUUCUUGGAAAAGAGAUGUGUCCUUGUUGUUUAUCUGGAUUUCAACACAGUGAUUGUUUAUAACAAACAUCAAAUCAGACAGUUUAACAAACCAUCAAGUAAUGUAUUAAAUACAAAAAAUGUAGUGCACCAGAAAUUGUAUUCCAUGUAAAGUUAUCCUGCUGAAAGUCUCUUCAAUGAAAAAUUUUCCAAACAA